CUCCCUGCCCAAAGAAUGACCACAGUGGGGAGGGCAGAGAGGACCAACAAUGGCCCCAUUGCUGCCUGCCCUUGGCACGGGCUCCAGAGGGGCUGGACUGUGCCGGGGGGGGCUGGGAAGGGGCUAAAUGCCAGCACUGUGCCGGGCUCGGCUCUGCACAUCCUGCGGAGGAGAAGGGGCAGGGAGCCAGCUCUGCUGCCAUCCCAUUUGGGGACACUGAUACCCCACGUCCCCUGCUCGUGGGAGGAUGCAUGGAGAAGAGGAUGCCUGGGAUGCAGGAUUCCUGGGGAUGGAUGCUCUGGAGCAUCCUGGGGUGGCAGAAGGCCUGGCACCAGGUGGCACGUGCAGCUCCUCAAGUCGGCGGACCUGGGGCGGCAGAGCCUGCUCUACCUGAAGGAGAUCGGGCAUGGCUGGUUCGGCAAGGUGUUCCUGGGGGAGGUGAACUCGGGCAUCAGCAGCACCCAGGUGGUGGUGAAGGAGCUGAAGGCGAGUGCCAGCGUGCAGGACCAGAUGCAGUUCCUGGAGGAAGCGCAGCCCUACAGAGCCCUCCAGCACACCAACCUGCUGCAGUGCCUGGCCCAGUGCGCCGAGGUCACCCCGUACCUGCUGGUGAUGGAGUUCUGCCCGCUGGGUGACCUGAAGGGGUACCUGCGGAGCUGCCGGGGGGCCGAGGCCAUGACCCCGGACCUGCUGACCCUGCAGAGGAUGGCGUGCGAGGUGGCCUGCGGUGUCCUGCAUCUGCACAGGAACAACUACAUCCACAGUGACCUGGCCCUGCGGAACUGCCUCCUGACCGCCGACCUCACUGUGAAGAUCGGGGACUACGGGCUCUCGCACUGCAAGUACAAAACCCUGCACACUUGGCAGGACGACUACUUCGUGACGGCCGACCAGCUGUGGGUGCCGCUGCGCUGGAUCGCGCCCGAGCUCAUCGAUGAGGUGCACGGCAACCUGCUUGUGGUGGACCAGACCAAGGCCAGCAAUGUCUGGUCGCUGGGCGUCACCAUCUGGGAGCUGUUUGAGCUGGGCAGCCAGCCCUACGACCACUACUCCGACCGCCAAGUGCUGGCCUACGCCAUCAAGGAGCAGCAGCUGAAGCUGCCCAAGCCCCAGCUGAAGCUGUCGCUGUCGGAGCGCUGGUACGAGGUGAUGCAGUUCUGCUGGCUGCAGCCUGAGCAGCGCCCCACAGCCGAGGAAGUGCACCUGCUGCUGUCCUACCUGUGCGCCAAGGGGGCCACAGAGGCGGAGGAGGACUUCGAGAAGCGCUGGAAUUCCAUGAAGCCCAACGGCAGCGCCAGCGGCAGCCACCACGGCCCCGAGCUCUCGUCCUUCCCGCUGCUGGAGCAGUUCUCAGCCGACGGGUUCCCCUCAGACGGGGACGACAUCCUCACUGUCAUGGAGACCAGCCACGGCCUCAACUUCGAGUACAAGUGGGAGCACACCAAGACCGAGCACUUCCAGGCCCCCCUGGGGUCCCUGAGCCCCAGCAGCGCCGCCCGCUACCACGACCUCUAUUACCCGGCCACGACGGCAGGGCUCAGCCUGGGGGUGUCCCCGUCCUGCUACGAGUGCAAGGCGUCCGGCUGCCCCGGGGUGCCGGUGCCCGGCGUGGUGCCCAUACUGGGCGCCCACAGCCCCUCGCUGGGCAGCGAGUACUACAUCCGCAUCGAGGGCCCCGGCGAGGGCAGCGCCGAGCUGGACUACGCCAUGUGCACCUACAGCCCGGCGGGCGAGCGCGGGGCCCUGCGCCCCCCGGCCUGCUGGAGAGCCCAGGGCGGCCGCGGCGGCGGCACCUACGACUCCGACGGCAGCCCCACCGUGUCCCUGAGUAUGGAGCCGCUGCUGGGCCACGCGCCCGCGGGCGAGGGCUCCUGGGAGUGCGCCGAGUACUGCCCCUACCCCUGCCCCGGCAAGGAGCCGCGGGGCUACGAGCCGACCCCCAGCCACGGGGCCGAGGGCUAUCUGCUGGCGGAGGAGCCCCCCCAGCCGGGCAGCCAGGACUGGCCCGUCCCCGCCUUCCAGCCCGGUGUCUUUGUCGACCCGCUGGGCGUCUCGCCGUCGGGGAACUGCGCCUACAGCCCCCCGGGGUACGGGGGGACACCGGGCCCGAGCGGGGUCCCGCCGGACUGCGUGGCGCUGGAGCUGGGCGAGGACAGCCCCCCCAGCGCCCCCCACCCGCCCGGUGCCAGCCCCCCGCCUCAGCGCCAUCCCUGGGCCUCCAACAGCUCCUCCAACAACAACAUCGGCAGCGGCAGCCCCCGCGAGCCCCCGGCCGGCGACAGCUGGUGCUACCGCCGCAUGAUCACCUUCCGCGGGCUCAUGGCCAAGCCGCUGGGCACAGUGCCCCGCGGGCAGCCCCAGCUCGGGGGGUCCCCGCCGGGACACGACUUCCUCCGCCCGCGGCAGGAUCAGCCCCCCGCAAUGGCCGGCGGCUCCUCCUCUCCGUGCCGCUCGCCCUCCCCGCGGCGGCAGGCCUGGCACGGCCGUGACUCAUCACCCUGCGGCCCCGCGCAGCCCGGCACGCUGGCGGGCAGCCCCGCCGCGCCCUGGGGCCCCGCCGCGGCCCCGACACCUGCGCCGGGGGCCCCGCGCGAUGCCCGGCCCGAGGAGAGCUCGGCGGCGGGAAGCCCUGGCCGCAGCCCGCUGUCCCCCGCCGCGCCGGGGCCGGGGGAGGCCGCCCCCACCAUGGCUGGCACGGCCGCCCCGAACCCCGGCCCCCCCGGCGAGCCCGGCGCAGAUGGCGCCCAGCCCACACCGGAGCCCGCCGAGGCGCCCGCGCCGGUGCCCGCGGAGGCCGUGGCCGAAGGCGGCGCCUGUGCCGCCGGCGACGCCGACCGGACGCCGGACAAGACGUUCUCCAGCAGCAGCUUCCCCAGCGUGGACGAGGGCAGCGACGAGGACACGGCCGAGCUGACCUCCGGCGUCUUCACCGACUUCUCCGGGGAAUACACGGAGCGGGCGGAGGCGGCCCCGGCGCUCAGGUCCCUGCAGAAGCAGGUGGGGACGCCGGACUCGCUGGAGUCGCUGGACAUCCCCUCCACGGCCAGCUCCUGCGAGGUGCUCAGCCCCGGCGCCUUCGCGCCCGCCGGCCAAGCCCGCGCCCUCGACAGCGGCUACGACACCGAGAACAACGAGUCCCCCGAGUUCGUCCUUAAGGAGCCCCACGAGCCCCGAGAGCCCGAAGCCUUCAGCCAGCUGGGGAAGCCGCCCCCGGGGCUGCCGGGGGGCGAGGGCGAGGCUCCGGGCCCUGAAACGCGGCUGCCCAGUGCCCCGGGGGCCGAGCUGCCCGGCCUGGCCGAGAAGAGCCCCUACCGCGACUCUGCCUAUUUCUCCGACUGCGACGCCGAGGCCGAGCGCGGCCACAAGGACGAGGGGGACAGCGAUGGGUCCCGCACGCCGGAGGCAGAGGAGGGUCCUCGCUCCCCUACGCAGGACAUAGGACGAGGAGAGGACCCGCUGCACCCGCCGGGGGCACCCGGCAGCCCCCCGGCAGCGCCUGGCGUCGCGGUGGCAGUGCCCACACCAGUGGCGGUGGCUUUGGAGGGGGACUGGGUGGGGACAGAGGCCGGGAGCGCGCCGGAGCAGGCACCUGGCACCGAGCAGAGCCCCGCUGGCACGGGGCUGGUGCCGGGCAGCCCCCCGCGCCCUGACACAGACACCUGUCCCCCGGGCUCUGUGACCCCCAAGACUUUCCUCUUGACCCCGGUGCCAGUGAGCCCUGGGGAGCCAUCGGCUGUCGGAGGGACCUGCAUGCCCGAGAGCGUCCCUGGACUUGGGGGAGCCACAGUGGGGGACAAACAGACUGUGACCCCCGCGCUGGGGCUUGGGGACCUGGGCCUGCCCCUGGAGGGGACUGUGGCGGGCGAUGCACCAGGGGGUCCCAGCACGCUGCUGCCUGGGGGCAAAUCUCCCCCGGGUCUCUCCCCGCCCCCGGCUGCCCCCGAGCGCCGUGAGGAGCCAGAGGAGGAGGAGGAGGACACAGAAGACAGUGACGAGUCGGACGAGGAGCUGCGCUGCUACAACAUCCAGGAGCAGAGCGAGGAGAGCGAGGAGGAGCCGGCAGCUGUGCCCAUCGUGGUGGCCGAGAGCCAGAGUGGCCGGAACCUGCGCAGCCUCCUCAAGAUGCCCAGCCUGCUGUCCGAGGCCUUCUGCGAGGACCUGGAGCGCAAGAAAAAGGCUGUCUCCUUCUAUGAUGACGUGACCAUCUACCUCUUCGACCAGGAAAGCCCCACGAGGGAGCUGGCUGAGCAGAGCUUCCCGGAGCCCACCCUGCCUUCAGGGCAGCCCCCCUCGCCUUCGGGGCAGCCCCCUGCCAGUGGCAGCCCCCCCAGCCCCACGGACAGGCUUGGAGCCUCCGACGACUCCUCAGAUGGCAACGCCUCGGAAGAGAGUGGUGGCUUUGAGUGGGAUGACGACUUCCCGCUGAUGCCAGUGAAGCCGUCCUUGGUGGCCUCGCUGCCGGGGACGCCGGCAGAGCCCCCCGCGCCCGUGCCCGCCCUGCCCGCCCUGGUGCCGGCGCAGAAACAGGUGCUGCCCAUCCAGUUCUCCCGGUUCACGGUGUCACCCGCCCCGGUGUCCCGGUUCUCCAUCACCCACGUCUCCGACUCGGACAUGGACUCCAUAGGAGGCAGCAGCGAAGACGGCGACCGGGAGUGAGCCCGCCGGGACACAGCCGGCAUUGCCCCGGCACCAGGGCGGCGCAGGACGGCGGGGCUGGCGCGGGGGCCGCCCGUGGGCUCCCAGACCCCGCCGGGCAGUUUUUAGGCAGAUUUUAUCGGAAGGAACUCGUUUGCUGCUUCGAGUGGGAGCGGGGCCGGCACGGCCCCCGCGGGGCCAGGCGGUGGGUGACGGUGACGGCCGUGCGCGUGUGCGGGUGGCUGUGAGCGUGCGUGUAAAAUAGACACUUAUAUAUAUAUAUAUACAUAUAUAUAUAUAAAUUAUAGCGUUUCAAGGGUAGUGCCCUGACCUUGCUAACAUUUGCGGAGUGUCCCCCCCAGUGAAGUUCCCCCUUGGCUUCUUGCCCACAUGUGCUCCCCGAGGCGGUUUGUCCCCACACCCCUUCUCCCCCGGGCUGUCCCCUCCCUGUGCCAUGCGCUCAGUCUUGCACCUUGUGGCAGCUUGGCUGUCCCACAGCUGUCCCACAGCUGUCCCACAGCUGCCCCACGGCUGCCCCACAGCUGCCCCAGAGGCACUCCACGACAUUCCUGACCGAGGGGCCACUGGCUGCUGCCACUCUGGAUGUCACUCCCUGUGCCAGAGGUGCCACUGGCUCCCCAGAGUGGUCCCCAUGGCUUUGGAGCUCCCCUCCCUUGGUUUGCAGGGAUCAGUCCCAGCUGGGGACCCUGGGGACUGGCGGAACCCUUGUCCAUUGUAGCAGGGAUCCACAUGUGGAGGGCUGGUUGUGUGGGGAAUAUCCCCCACCGGGACCUGCCAUCCUGACUAUUUUUGUAUUUAAACAAAAUGAUUAAAAAACCCCAACCCCACCCCAAAACCAAAACUUGCUGUUGACUGAACUCACAUUGACGCGAUUUUAAGUUAUUGCUGCCAAAGAGACAUAUCGGGGAGGGGGGGGGAGGGGGGCGCGCUCAUGGUUCUUUGUUCCUUUUUUUUUGUUUGUUUGUUUUUUUAUUUUUUUAAUUCAUUCGAGGCUUAGGAUAAUUGUGCAAUUCCAGCUUCCGGAAGGAAAUAGAAGUAAGCGGAGCUGAGCGAAACCUUGAAUUCAGGGCUGAUUCCUUUUGGGGUCUAUAGACCAAACCCUGAGGUUACGUCUUGCAGGUGCCACCGAGCCAGGAGGUGCAGCGAAGCCCCCGGGGGCUGGCUGGAGCCAGGGUGGCAGCUUGGGGGGCCCAGGGGGACAGCCCCUGGCACGGGGGUGGAAGAGGACACCGCAGUGGCCGAGGGGACCCCGGGCCUGUCCCCACCCUGGGCUGUGACCACCAGCCCUCUCCCACCCACUGCCCCACAUGCCAGCAGAGCCCUUUCCCUCGCCCCUGCCCUGUGUGGCCCCCACCCAUCUGCUCCAGCCCUGGGAGAGGAAGAGGAGGCACGGGAGAGGAAAAGGAAGCACAUUGUGGAGCAAGGAACCCUCGUGCAGAGCUGGAGCCUGGGCGGUCACAGGAGAAGCUGUUCCUGCAGUGGAGCUGGAAAACCCAUUGGAGGGGACACGGGAGAGAUGAGCCACCACAUCCGACUGGGACCGAGCCCCCUGGGCUGGGGACACUCUGUGCCCGGCCAAGUGCCCAGCCAAGCACCACUGCCCGGGCUGGGGGGACCAGGACGUGCUGCACCAGUGAUCAGAAAGUGCAAAAUCAGAAAUACAACGGAAAAAGCAAAAACUCUGGGUUCAACCCCUCACCCGUGGGAGACACAGUUCCUGCCUGGAAACCCUCUUCUCCCAGUUUUUGGAGCAAGGAUGUGACCCUGGUCACUCAGGAGCUGCGGGAAGCGCUGUGGGAGCCACCUUGCUCGUGGGCACCCCCAGCACUAAGCUUAGCAAGUGUGUAUAUAUAUAUUUAUAUAUAUUUAUCUCUAUCUAUCUCUCUCUCUCAUGCAGCCCUAGGAAUAGAGGAAGAGCAAACAGCCAAGCAAGACGUCCGGAUGGGAGCUCCCGUCUGCAGGGAGCAGGGGCACCCCGGCCCCAGGCACCCCAAGGCUCACUCACACACUGCCCUCACCUCCACAAGUGGUUUUUUCCUAGCUUAUAUUUUACAGCAGUACCGUACUUCCCUACCAGGAAGCUCUGGGACCGGAGCUGACCCCGUCCCAGCGGGGGCUGCAGUGCUGGCACCCACUGCCCUGUCCCAGCCCGGAGCACAGGGUGGGCAGCCGGGGUCUGGUGGGAGCCUGGGAGCUGCCUACAGCUCCCACCAUCCCCUGGCUUGCACGGGGUAUCCCGGUGUCGUGCCUGGCCUCGGGGUCCCUCCCGUCUGGGCAGGGAGAGCAGGGGGACCGUGUCCCCUCUGCCAUUGCUGCCCCACUGGAGUGCUGUGAGCCCACGGAGAGUUGUUCUCCAGCUGAGCCCGUUUCUCCACCCACAGCAAGCUGCUGCUCAGCCUGGGAGCCACCCCAGCUCUGGGACAUGCUGCUCUGACUCCGGGAAGUGCUGCCCCCGCGCUUGUUAGCACAGGCAAAGGACAGGUGGCAUGGCAGCGCUGUGACCCUCUGCCACCGAGGGAGUCUAGAGAAGAGAGAACUAGGGCACUAGCUUGAGCCUUUGGCUUUCAAAGCAGCAGGAUUAAUAAAUUCCGCCUAAAAAUGGA